AUUGAACGCUGGCGGCAGGCCUAACACAUGCAAGUCGAGCGGCAGACAGCAGUAGCAAUACUGUGGGUGGCGAGCGGCGGACGGGUGAGGAAUACAUCGGAAUCUACCUUCUUGUGGGGGAUAACGUAGGGAAACUUACGCUAAUSCCGCAUAAGACCUGAGGGUGAAAGCGGGGGACCGCAAGGCCUCGCGCGAGAAGAUGAGCCGAUGUCCGAUUAGCUAGUUGGUGAGGUAAAGGCUCACCAAGGCGACGAUCGGUAGCUGGUCUGAGAGGAUGAUCAGCCACACUGGAACUGAGACACGGUCCAGACUCCUACGGGAGGCAGCAGUGGGGAAUAUUGGACAAUGGGCGCAAGCUG
rnacentral:rRNA from 1 species